UAAUACGGAGGGUGCAAGCGUUAUCCGGAUUUACUGGGUUUAAAGGGUGCGUAGGCGGGCCUUUAAGUCAGUGGUGAAAUCUCCCGGCUUAACCGGGAAACUGCCAUUGAUACUAUUGGUCUUGAAUUCAGUUGAGGUGGGCGGAAUGUGUCGUGUAGCGGUGAAAUGCUUAGAUAUGACACAGAACACCAAUUGCGAAGGCAGCUCGCUAAACUGACAUUGACGCUGAGGCACGAAAGCGUGGGGAUCAAACAGGAUUAGAUACCCUGGUAGUCCACGCCCUAAACGAUGAUUACUCGAUCUGUGCGAUACACUGUACGGGUCUAUGCAAAAGCAUUAAGUAAUCCACCUGGGGAGUACGACCGCAAGGUUG
rnacentral:rRNA from 1 species